CGGCCGCGCCCCCUCGCCGAUGGCCGAAGCCUGGAGGCUGGAGGAGGACGAGGAGGAGCUGCGGGAGCUCGGCAGGAGGCACCGCCGGGCCCUGGGCUCGGCAGCAGAUCGUUCUGAAAGAAAUAAACCAGACUGCCGCUCUUCAGGCCAAGGACCCUUGUCAUCCAUAAGAGCAGCAAUCAAGAGAUCUUCUCGGACUUCUAGCCAUAGUGAGCAGCAGAGGGAUAGAAGGUAUGAUGCAGUUAUUUAUAUUGCAAUUGGGUGUUACUUUAAAACUUGUUAGAUUGUAUCACAGUAUUACUUUUUCUGCCUUUCUGUAGUUGUUUUGGUGUUGCUUUUUUUUU
rnacentral:lncRNA from 1 species